AUUGAACGCUGGCGGCAUGCCUUACACAUGCAAGUCGAACGGCAGCGGGGGAGAAGCUUGCUUUUCCUGCCGGCGAGUGGCGAACGGGUGAGUAAUACAUCGGAACGUGCCCUGUAGUGGGGGAUAACUAGUCGAAAGAUUAGCUAAUACCGCAUACGACCUGAGGGUGAAAGUGGGGGACCGCAAGGCCUCAUGCUAUAGGAGCGGCCGAUGUCUGAUUAGCUAGUUGGUGGGGUAAAGGCCUACCAAGGCGACGAUCAGUAGCUGGUCUGAGAGGACGAUCGGCCACACUGGGACUGAGACACGGCCCAGACUCCUACGGGAGGCAGCAGUGGGGAAUUUUGGACAAUGGGCGAAAGCCUGAUCCAGCAAUGCCGCGUGUGUGAAGAAGGCCUUCGGGUUGUAAAGCUCUGUUGUACGGGAAGAAGUUUGCAGUGCUAAUACCAUUGUAAGUUGACGGUACCGUAUAAGAAAGGAUCGGCUAACUUCGUGCCAGCCGCCGCGGUAA
rnacentral:rRNA from 1 species